rnacentral:rRNA from 1 species
GACGAACGCUGGCGGCGUGCUUAACACAUGCAAGUCGAGCGGAAAGGCCACUUCGGUGGUACUCGAGCGGCGAACGGGUGAGUAACACGUGAGUAAUCUGCCCUUGGCUUCGGGAUAGCCACCGGAAACGGUGAUUAAUACCGGAUAUGACCACUUCUCGCAUGGGAUGGUGGUGGAAAGUUUUUCGGCCAGGGAUGUGCUCGCGGCCUAUCAGCUUGAUGGUGAGGUAAUGGCUCACCAUGGCUUCGACGGGUAGCCGGCCUGAGAGGGUGACCGGUCACACUGGGCCUGAGACACGGCCCAGACUCCUACGGGAGGCAGCAGUGGGGAAUAUUGGACAAUGGGCGGAAGCCUGAUCCAGCAACGCCGCGUGAGGGAUGACGGCCUUCGGGUUGUAAACCUCUUUCGGUAGGGACGAAGCGUGAGUGACGGUACCUACUAAAGAAGCACCGGCCAACUACGUGCCAGCAGCCGCGGUAACAC